rnacentral:rRNA from 1 species
CCAGCAGCUGCGGUAAUUCCAGCUCCAAUAGCGUAUAUUAAGUUGUUGCAGUUAAAAAGCUCGUAGUUGGAUUUCUAGAUAAGUGGGUACUUGUACUUUGCUUGUCUACCAGUCAUAGACUGUUACUGUGAGAAAAUUAGAGUGUUUCAAGCAGGCUGUUGCAGGAAUACAUUAGCAUGGAAUAAUAGAAUAGGACUUGAACCUCUUCUGUUGGUCUGAGGGGUUGAAGUAAUGAUUAAUAGGGAUAGUUGGGGGCAUUAGUACUUAACUGUCAGAGGUGAAAUUCUCGGAUUUGUUAAAGACUAACUUAUGCGAAAGCAUUUGCCAAGAAUGUUUUCAUUAAUCAAGAACGAACGU